ensembl:snRNA U2 U2 spliceosomal RNA
AUCGCUUCUCGGCCUUUUGGCUAAGAUCAAGUGUAGGAUUUUGAUGGUUUCCUGUCUCACAGUUAGGUCUUUCAUUCAUGUUGAAUUUACUUUUCUGUAUGGUAUAAGAAAGUGGUCCAGUUUCAUUCUUCUGCAUAUCGCUGUCCAGUUUUCCCAGCACCAUGUGCUGAAGAGACUGUCUUUU